CUUGUUCUUGCACCUUCCAGUCCUUCUAAAGUAAGAUGCUGUGAGCAGCUGACUCGCGACAUGGGGAGGAGCACACUGUUGUAAAUAACCAUCGUGGGAGAACAGGAGGCCUAUUCUGGACCCCACACCCUGACAGGUCCUUCUCUCCCCAGGCUCUCGUUUAAUCUGGAGGAACAUACACAGGCUGGUUGGAUGCAAGUCUGCGUGUCGGGAUUCAGAGAACAGACUCAGGCAGUUGUUGAUUACAUCAAACGCGUCACUGGGCCUGCGGAGGAGGCAUACGGCAGUUAUUAGUAUCAAGUAAAGAGCGACUUAGCAGCAGCAGCAAAGAGUCAAAGGAAAAAUAGCCUUGGCCUGAAGCCACAGUGAUCUGGGGAAACAAUAUUAAAGCUGAGAAAUCUAUAAAAGGUCAGAGACUCAUAGAGACCUUAACUUGGAUGGGAAAACAUACCUUCAGCCAAGUGUUCUGAAAUGAGGAGGAAGAAAUGGGGUGACCGCCUCCUUUUGGAAAAGGAGUUGAGUUCUGACUGAUGAAGGUGUUUUCUCAUCUGUAAAAGGAGAAGGACAGGUAUGAAUCAAGUCUCUCAAACUCUUCUACUUCUGAUAGUCGCACAAGGCUGAUUAGUAUCUUGACUCAUCCAUCCAGCAAAUAUCAACUGACUUACCAUUGGCAAGCAUUGUGCUGGGCAUUGGUGAAGACUGAAUCUGGGAACAGUACAUACAACUAAUGAGCUAACUCCUAAACAAGCCCUUUUUACCAAGCACCCAAUAAAACUUUACCCCUUUCCUUUUUUUUUUUUUUU
ensembl:lncRNA